UGGAGUUAUAUUUACGUUGCUUCACGAAUGCACACCAGGACAACUGGUCUCACCUCCUUCCUUGGGCUGAAUUCGCCAGGAACACUGUGACUCAUUCGUCCACUAGCUUAAGUCCUUUUAUGGUUGCUUAUGGGUUCCAACCCUCUGUCCUUCCCGGCAUGUUCUCCGACAAGGGAAUACCCGCUUUGGACGAGCACCUCACCUCCUUACGGAAGAUGUGGGAUCAGGUCCAU